GAAUUCUGCUUCUUGUGGUAAAGUACUCAUAUUUUAUAUCAGUAAAAAUACUAAUUCGCUGCGAGUUGCACGAGUUUUCACAAGCAGUAAUUACCUAAAAUCUCCGCCAAGAAUUAUAAUUUUUCUAUCAAGUAGUAAAUCAACAUUCAUGAAGUCACAUAAUGUUUGAUCUACUAAUUCCAAAGCAUACCUUGCCGCCAUUGAAGCUUCGUCCCAAAUAAAAAUAUCUAAUUCUGCCACCAGGUCGAUCAAUAUACAAACAUGAUGUAAAAGGCAUUUUUUCGUUUAACAAACCAACAUUAAGAAUUGUGUCUACAAUAUCUUUUUGUUUUUCAUUUACUUUGUGGUAUUGAGCCUGACCGAGUUGUUGAUGUUGAGUAAGCGAUACCUCGUCAUCAUGAAUCUCACCACCGUUCCGAAAUAUAUUUAUUUGUGGCAUCGUUGAAAAGCUACUAAUAUCGGACCUUUGUAGGAAAGAUAGAUAUUUAUCUGAAUAUAUGAUCUUAUUUCCUCAGGAUUGAUAGGCUAACAGCAUAUUUAAAUACGAACAAAAAAACGUCUUAAUUGUUGGGGCAUCAUCAAAACUUCUUCUUCUGUCAUAGCACGAUCCCACUCUGCAUCAUCUUCGAUGAAGCCUAAUGCUGAACAUGUUCU